AGCUUUUCGAAUCCGUGCUGAGAUUUCGUCAGAGGUCAAAAUAUUAGGGUUGAUCAGACUUCCAAGGUAAGUGAAGUU
rnacentral:pre_miRNA from 1 species